rnacentral:rRNA from 1 species
GACGAACGCUGGCGGCGUGCCUAAUACAUGCAAGUAGAACGCACAGUUUAUACCGUAGCUUGCUACACCAUAGACUGUGAGUUGCGAACGGGUGAGUAACGCGUAGGUAACCUGCCUGGUAGCGGGGGAUAACUAUUGGAAACGAUAGCUAAUACCGCAUAAUAUUAAUUAUUGCAUGAUAAUUAAUUGAAAGGUGCAAUUGCACCACUACCAGAUGGACCUGCGUUGUAUUAGCUAGUAGGUGAGGUAACGGCUCACCUAGGCGACGAUACAUAGCCGACCUGAGAGGGUGAUCGGCCACACUGGGACUGAGACACGGCCCAGACUCCUACGGGAGGCAGCAGUAGGGAAUCUUCGGCAAUGGACGAAAGUCUGACCGAGCAACGCCGCGUGAGUGAAGAAGGUUUUCGGAUCGUAAAGCUCUGUUGUAAGAGAAGAACGGGUGUGAGGGUGGAAAGUUCACACUGUGACGUUAUCUUACCAGAAAGGGACGGCUAACUACGUG